GCUUGGAAUCGAAAUAAAUCGUCAGUCAGAACUAAUAUGUCACAAACCGAACCAACAACCUAUAGAGUAUCUACUGUUCAACGAAACCUUCGCCUUGUAUUGUGCAAAUAUUGGCAAAAAGGCCUACUUUAUAUAAACACUACCAAAUAAAUAUUAUACGAGGACGCAUGUAAAAAUGAGCUAUGGGGACCCGAUAUCGACGAAUUUUGCUCGUUGAGAGAAUCGAUUGCAGUUUAUACAACUUGUGUCAUUUAUUCUUUGGCCAAAAUGGGCAACUCACAUUAAUUGACGACUUGACUUACGAGCUCUGACUACAACUCAAACUAAACAAAACAACAACUCAGAAACAAGUUGGGUCUUCUAUGACGAGUCUGUCAGGCAAAGCAACUGGUGGUGAGGAAGAAAGACAUGUUGUUCGGCAGAGAAAAAAAGUGGAAUAAUUAAGUACUUCGAAGGUGGUAAACAUUUUGGACUACCCCCGUGGGGAGCAGAAUCUAUUUGUGAGGUUUUUAAGCCUUUAGAAUGGCAAAGGUCAUCCUCGAUUCCGUUGUAAACCUUCCUACACAUGGAGCCAAAACAACAAAACGAAAGUCAAGUUUCGAAGAGGGGACACAAAGUUUAUGCGAGUCAAAUAUGCGGGAUAUUGCUCGCAAGGAAGUGGAACUUACACAAGCAAAAUACAAACAUAUAUGUAGGAACUCAGCAAGCCGAUGCAUUGGAUUAAGCCAGCGCCUUGAGGCCAGCGUCAAUGUAGUGAAGAUAAUGUAGAUUUUAAUAAACAAAUAUUUACAUAAUUAGUCAUUUUAAUAGUUACAUGCAUAUCGGAUAGUUCUUCGCUGUCCUAUUUUUUUGACAGAGCCCUAAUAGCAGUGCGAUGGCCACAUGGUCGUGUACAAUACGAAUGAAAUGUGUGAUGGGACACGUUGGAAUCAUUGACUUUAAAUCGAUGAAUUUCGUGGCCGGGAAGCAAUGACGAUAGGAAUCAUACCAGCGUUGGAGAACAUCUUAAGAUUUUAAAAAGAAAUUUAAGUUUAAGAAAUUUAAGAAAUUUAAGGCGUAAGUUGUUUCUUGAAUGGGUAAAAAAUUAAAACAUGUGCUGGCAGAAUUACCUGCGCUGACAUCAAGUAAUAUUUAUCUCUUAUAGUAGAUUCCGAACCUUUGGACCCUUGUUUCUGAUCCCUUAUGCAGAUCAUAAGCUGAGGAAGAUUAUAAAUUGAGAUUUAAUAAAUUCAAGAAACGAGUAAUGUUAUGCACGGCACCAUCGUUUUCAGGUCCCAGUGAUAAACGUAUGAUAAGCAGGAGGGGAGGUACCUCGUGUUACCAAGAUCGAAAAGGACAUCCCGCUCGCGGAUGACGACGAACCAACCGACGGACUAGGAGAGGGACGAGAUCAUUAAUGUUUACCACAAUCAAAUUUAAGCCUAAAGUUUGAAUGGAUGGAGUAGCGCUGGCCUCACAUAAGACGCUGGUUCAUUUGGAACAAACAUCACAUCAAUUUAGAGAAAUUGUAAUACCGGAUCGCACAGACGACACUAUUAAAACCUCAGCAACGCAAUAAUUCUCUUUGAUACAUCUGAAAUAACGAAAUUUAAGCGAGCCAAAUAUAAAUUACGA